UACGUAGGUGGCAAGCGUUGUCCGGAUUUACUGGGCGUAAAGAGCGCGCAGGCGGUCGUUCAAGUCGCGUGUGAAAGCCCCCGGCUCAACUGGGGAGGGUCACGCGAUACUGAUCGACUGGAAGGCAGGAGAGGGUAGUGGAAUUCCCGGUGUAGUGGUGAAAUGCGUAGAUAUCGGAGGAACACCAGUGGCGAAGGCGACUACCUGGCCUGUUCUUGACGCUGAGGCGCGAAAGC
rnacentral:rRNA from 1 species